GAAAGGUAUGCUAAUACAAGAUGAUAUAAGAGAUUCGCAUGAAUUUCUUAUCAAAGCUUUUGCGGUAUGAGAUGGACCCGCGUCUGAUUAGCUAGUUGGUAAGGUAAUGGCUUACCAAGGCUUCGAUCAGUAGCCGACCUGAGAGGGUGAUCGGCCACAUUGGAACUGAGACACGGUCCAAACUCCUACGGGAGGCAGCAGUGGGGAAUAUUGCACAAUGGGCGAAAGCCUGACGCAGCAACGCCGCGUGAGCGAUGAAGGCCUUCGGGUCGUAAAGCUCUGUCCUCAAGGAAGAUAAUGACGGUACUUGAGGAGGAAGCCCCGGCUAACUACGUGCCAGCAGCCGCGGUAAUACGUAGGGGGCUAGCGUUAUCCGGAUUUACUGGGCGUAAAGGGUGCGUAGGUGGUUUCUUAAGUCAGGAGUGAAAGGCUACGGCUCAACCGUAGUAAGCUCUUGAAACUGGGAAACUUGAGUGCAGGAGAGGAAAGUGGAAUUCCUAGUGUAGCGGCGAAAUGCGUAGAUAUUAGGAGGAACACCAGUAGCGAAGGCGGCUUUCUGGACUGUAACUGACACUGAGGCACGAAAGCGUGGGGAGCAAACAGGAUUAGAUACCCUGGUAGUCCACGCCGUAAACGAAGAGUACUAG
rnacentral:rRNA from 1 species